rnacentral:tRNA from 1 species
AGCAAAGUAAGCUAAAAAAAGCUAUUGGGCCCAUGCCCCAAAGAUGAUGGCUAACACCCAACCUUUGUUA